rnacentral:rRNA from 1 species
UGGGGGAAUAACGCAUACGAAAGAUGUGCUAAUACCGCAUAUUCUCUGUGGAGAAAGUAGGGGAUCGAAAGACCUUAUGCUUAUGGAGCGGCCGAUGCCUGAUUAGCUUGUUGGUGGGGUAAUGGCCUACCAAGGCGACGAUCAGUAGUUGGUCUGAGAGGACGACCAGCCACACUGGGACUGAGACACGGCCCAGACUCCUACGGGAGGCAGCAGUGGGGAAUUUUGGACAAUGGGCGAAAGCCUGAUCCAGCAAUGCCGCGUGAGUGAAGAAGGCCUUCGGGUUGUAAAGCUCUUUUAGUUAAGAAGAAAAGGUUGUGACUAAUAAUCACAAUUAAUGACGGUAUUAACAGAAAAAGCACCGGCUAACUACGUG